rnacentral:rRNA from 1 species
UACGGAGGGUGCAAGCGUUGUCCGGAAUCACUGGGCGUAAAGGGCGCGUAGGCGGCUCAUGAAGGCUGUGGUGAAAGUCCGGGGCUCAACCUCGGAUCGGCCGUGGCGACUCGUGGGCUGGAGCACUGUAGAGGCGGGUGGAAUUCCGGGUGUAGCGGUGGAAUGCGUAGAGAUCCGGAAGAACGCCAGUGGCGAAGGCGGCCCGCUGGGCAGUGGCUGACGCUGAGGCGCGACAGCGUGGGGAGCAAACGAGG